UGUGUGUUGAGAGACAUAGUAGGUACUUACAUUUCCAUCUCCUCUAUGCUUGUAUUUCAAGUCUCGCUCAAUUUUCUUUCAGAUUCAGAUUCAGGAGGCUGCAAAAGAUUUAUUGAUUCAUAUCUUAUCAUGCCGUUUACUGGUUCCAAAAUAUUCUUUUUAAAACAGUUCUAUCUGCCAUUGGGCCUGUAUACUUUUUUGGAAUGUCUUGCAGAAAAAAAAAACACCGAACUUGGCCGCGUGUCUUGGGGUGUUUGAACCCAGAUUCUUCUCCUCUCUCGCAAUUACAGUUACUCACUGGAAAUUUACGGCUCAUGUUUCGGAAUGAUAGCAUUGUUCGUGAAGAAGAGGGAAUUGCACGAGUCAUGUGGCUGAUGCGCACAACAACUGUAGUCGAACAAGCCUCGGGAAUAUUCAUCGUUGAAAAACCUGCUCACCAGCGACAGAUCUUAACUGGAGUUUAUGAGGCAAGAGUCAUCAACAAUUAUUAAAAUUCCUGACAAAAAUAGUUUUUAGAAUACUAAACGUAGUACUUAAUCCCAAUAAUUACGAUCUUGAAUUCACAGACACACGCCAAAAAAAAAAGGAAAAAAUAGGGGGAAAAUAUACUUUUUCUUUGGAAAAUUAGCCACUUUUCCCCCUUAAUUGUCCAUUUUAAUCAAACUUUCAUAAACUUUCAGCCAAUGUUAUUUUAUUUGUAAAUCUGUAAUAGAAUAAGAAGUUGUUGACUUAAGGCUCGCUUAAAACUAUUUUGACAGUUGAGUUUCAAGUUUUAAAUCUAAUCCCUUUAAUCUAUCUAGAGCAUGCAUAAUACGGUCAGCAAAAAAUUGGAUAAGUUUCUAAUUUCAGGCAGGAAGCAUGAUUCGAGUUCUGGAGCUCCUAACAGCCCCUUGUGUUGAAGAUAGGCUUUUAGGCGCUCUGCCUUGAUUCAGUUGAGUGUUAUGACGGAAGACUGGCGACUUCAUGAUAUAUUCCUGGAACAAAAUGGAUUGAAAGCUGUCAUAGACGUUCUUAAAAAUGAGAUUGUAAGUAUCAAAAUAAAAGUAUUUGUUUGUUCUAGUCAAUCCUGCAAAAUUUACCGUUUUGAGUAAUGCUCUCAGGGGAAGUGAGAGUAUAUACGUUCAGAAUUGAUGCUUUCAAUUUUUAAAUUGAUUGUGGGAAUGGUCCAACCAAAUAUGAAUGUAAGUCGCCUCUUGGGCUUGAAAACCUGAAAAAUUGGGAAAAUUAAGAGAAAAUUUACGUAAAAAUUGUAGGAAUUUUCUCAAGACGGACCAAAAUUUUUUCUGCUCCAUUGGCUUUCAGUAUCUUUUCCGUUUUCAACAAUACAUUAGCAGAUUUUGCAAAU
rnacentral:lncRNA from 1 species